UACGGAGGGUGCAAACGUUGCUCGGAAUCAUUGGGCGUAAAGCGCACGUAGGCGGUCUUGUAAGUUGGGCGUGAAAUCCCUCGGCUUAACCAAGGAAGUGCACUCAAAACUGCAAGACUUGAAUACUGGAGAGGGUCGCAGAAUUCUCGGUGUAGAGGUGAAAUUCGUAGAUAUCGGGAGGAAUACCAGUGGCGAAGGCGGCGACCUGGUCAGAUAUUGACGCUGAGGUGCGAAAGCGUGGGGAGCAAACAGG
rnacentral:rRNA from 1 species